UACGAAGGGUGCAAACGUUGCUCGGAAUUAUUGGGCGUAAAGCGCACGUAGGCGGCUCCGAAAGUCGGAUGUGAAAUCCCUCGGCUCAACCAAGGAAGUGCACCCGAAACUGUGGAGCUUGAGUAUGGAAGAGGGUCGCGGAAUUCCCGGUGUAGAGGUGAAAUUCGUAGAUAUCGGGAGGAACACCAGUGGCGAAGGCGGCGACCUGGGCCAAUACUGACGCUGAGGUGCGAAAGCGUGGGGAGCAAACAGG
rnacentral:rRNA from 1 species